rnacentral:tRNA from 1 species
GGGGAUUUAGCUCAUUGGUAGAGCACUUGCCUAGCAAGCACAAGACCCUGGGUUCGGUCCCCAGCUCUG